GACGAACGCUGGCGGCGUGCUUAACACAUGCAAGUCGAACGGAAAGGCCCUGCUUUUGUGGGGUGCUCGAGUGGCGAACGGGUGAGUAACACGUGAGUAACCUGCCCUUGACUUUGGGAUAACUUCAGGAAACUGGGGCUAAUACCGGAUAGGAGCUCCUGCUGCAUGGUGGGGGUUGGAAAGUUUCGGCGGUUUGGGAUGGAGCCGCGGCUUAUCAGCCUGUUGGGGGGUAGUGGAUUACCAAGGCGUUGACGGGUAGCCGGCCUGAGAGGGUGACCGGCCACAUUGGGACUGAGAUACGGCCCAGACUCCUACGGGAGGCAGAAGUGGGGAAUAUUGCACAAAGGGCGGAAGCGUGAUGCAGAAACGCCGCGUGCGGGAUGAGGGCCUUCGGGUUGUAAACCGCUUUCGCCUGUGACGAAGCGUGAGUGAGGGUAAUGGGUAAAGAAGCACCGGCUAACUACGU
rnacentral:rRNA from 1 species